rnacentral:tmRNA from 1 species
GGGGAUGAUCGGUUUCGACGAUGUGAGUUGCCGUAAGGGAAGCGUGCCGAGGACGCAAAGUUAUCUCGUAAACACCCUUUGCAAAAAAAUCAAGUGCCGAUUCUAAACGCACUGACUUCGCUCUCGCUGCCUAACUAGCGACCGAGUCCGUCAGCCUAGGUUUGCUAUUGACCUAGAUCCUGGCGUCGUUUAAAUAGCCACUGUCCGUCGCCCCUGUCGGGGGAAGCGACGGAGACCUGAAGCCGACUAGACCUAACAGUUGCUCGUCUGCGAGUGACUGAGGUCGAUAAAACUCCAUGCAGACUGCGCACGGAGAAGCCUUACGAAUACCACAUCGGACCCGGGUUCAAUUCCCGGCAUCUCCACAA